UACGUAUGGUGCAAGCGUUGUUCGGAAUUACUGGGCGUAAAGGGCGCGCAGGUGGAAUGCUAAGUCAGGUGUGAAAACCCGGGGCUCAACCCCGGGCCUGCACUUGAAACUGGCGUUCUGGAGUCUCGGAGAGGCAAGUGGAAUUCCAGGUGUAGCGGUGAAAUGCGUAGAUAUCUGGAGGAACACCAAUGGCGAAGGCAGCUUGCUGGACGGUGACUGACACUGAGGCGCGAAAGCGUGGGGAGCAAACAGG
rnacentral:rRNA from 1 species